GAUGAACGCUAGCGGCAGGCCUAAUACAUGCCAGUCGGACGGGAUUCAGGAGCUUGCUUCUGAUGAGAGUGGCGCACGGGUGCGUAACACGUAUGUAACCUACCUUUAUCAGGGGGAUAGCCUCUCGAAAGAGAGAUUAAGCCCGCAUAAAAUCACAGCACAGCAUUGUGUAAUGAUCAAAUAUUUAUAGGAUAAAGAUGGGCAUGCGGAACAUUAGCUAGAUGGCGGGGUAACGGCCCACCAUGGCGACGAUGUUUAGGGGAUCUGAGAGGAUGGCCCCCCACACUGGUACUGAGACACGGACCAGACUCCUACGGGAGGCAGCAGUAAGGAAUAUUGGUCAAUGGGCGGAAGCCUGAACCAGCCAUGCCGCGUGCAGGAAGACGGCCCUACGGGUUGUAAACUGCUUUUAUACGGGAAGAAACCCAGAUACGGGUAUCUGGCUGAAUGUACUGUAAGAAUAAGGAUCGGCUAACUCCGUG
rnacentral:rRNA from 1 species